rnacentral:rRNA from 1 species
UCGAGGGGUAACAGGAGUAGCUUGCUAUUUGCUGACGACCGGCGCACGGGUGCGUAACGCGUAUAGAAUCUACCUUAUACUGGGGGAUAGCCUUUGGAAACGAAGAUUAAUACCCCAUAGUAUUAUUUUUUGGCAUCAUUAAAUAAUUAAAGUUUCGGCGGUAUAAGAUGACUAUGCGUUCUAUUAGUUAGUUGGUAAGGUAACGGCUUACCAAGACUUCGAUAGAUAGGGGUCCUGAGAGGGAGAUCCCCCACACUGGUACUGAGACACGGACCAGACUCCUACGGGAGGCAGCAGUGAGGAAUAUUGGACAAUGGAGGCAACUCUGAUCCAGCCAUGCCGCGUGUAGGAAGACUGCCCUAUGGGUUGUAAACUACUUUUAUAUGGGAAGAAUAAGAUCUACGUGUAGAUNGAUGACGGUACCAUAAGAAUAAGCACCGGCUAACUCCGUGCCAGCAGCCGCGGUAAUACGGAGGGUGCAAGCGUUAUCCGGAAUCAUUGGGUUUAAAGGGUCCGUAGGCGGGCAUAUAAGUCAGUGGUGAAAGUCUGUGGCUNAACCAUAGAAUUGCCAUUGAUACUGUAUGUCUUGAAUUAUUGUGAAGUGGUUAGAAUAUGUAGUGUAGCGGUGAAAUGCUUAGAGAUUACAUAGAAUACCGAUUGCGAAGGCAGAUCACUAACAAUAUAUUGACGCUGAUGGACGAAAGCGUAGGUAGCGAACAGGAUUAGAUACCCUGGUAGUCUACGCCGUAAACGAUGGAUACUAGUUGUUUGGUUUUCGGACUGAGUGACUAAGCGAAAGUGAUAAGUAUCCCACCUGGGGAGUACGUUCGCAAGAAUGAAACUCAAAGGAAUUGACGGGGGCCCGCACNAGCGGUGGAGCAUGUGGUUUAAUUCGAUGAUACGCGAGGAACCUUACCAGGGCUUAAAUGUAGUCUGACAGCUUUAGAGAUAGAGUUUUCUUCGGACAGAUUACAAGGUGCUGCAUGGUUGUCGUCAGCUCGUGCCGUGAGGUGUCAGGUUAAGUCCUAUAACGAGCGCAACCCCUGUGGUUAGUUGCCAGCGAGUAAUGUCGGGAACUCUAGCCAGACUGCCGGUGCAAACCGUGAGGAAGGUGGGGAUGACGUCAAAUCAUCACGGCCCUUACGUCCUGGGCCACACACGUGCUACAAUGGUAGGGACAGAGAGCAGCCACUUAGCGAUAAGGAGCGAAUCUAUAAACCCUAUCUCAGUUCGGAUUGGAGUCUGCAACUCGACUCCAUGAAGCUGGAAUCGCUAGUAAUCGGAUAUCAGCCAUGAUCCGGUGAAUACGUUCCCGGGCCUUGUACACACCGCCCGUCAAGCCAUGGAAGCUGGGGGUA